GUCUUUUUGAGUUAUUUUUAAAGUUUAGCCUGCCCACUGAAAAGUUUUAAAUGGCCGCAGUAUUUUAACUGUGCAAAGGUAGCAUAAUCAUUAGUCUUUUAAUUGAAGGCUGGUAUGAAUGGUUGGACGAAGUAUAAGCUGUUUCAUAUAAAAUUAUAUUAGAAUUUUAUUUUUUAGUUAAAAAGCUAAAAUUUUAUUAAAAGACGAGAAGACCCUAUAAAUCUUUAUAUUAUAUUUUAUUUAAAUUUUUUAGAGUUGUUUUGUUUUUAUAUUUUAAAAUAUUUUGUUGGGGUGAUAUUAAAAUUAGAAAAACUUUUAAAUUAUAAAAUCAUUAAUUUAUGAAUUAUUGAUCCGUUAUUAGUGAUUAAAAGAUUAAGUUACUUUAGGGAUAACAGCGUAAUUUUUUUGAAGAGUUCUUAUCGAUAAAAAAGUUUGCGACCUCGAUGUUGGAUUAAGAAAUUUUUUGGGUGUAGCUGCUUAAAUAUAAAGUCUGUUCGACUUUAAAUUCUUACAU
rnacentral:rRNA from 1 species